GGGUAUAUAGCUCAAGUGGCAGAGCACAUGCUUAGCGUGCAGGAGGUCCUGGGUUCAAUCCCCAGUAUCUCCU
rnacentral:tRNA from 1 species